CCGAAGGAAAUGCCAAACGGAGCCUUGCUGAAGACUUGAGAAGAGGCUUAGUUUAGGUUAAGAGAGCGCGCACGAUAGCAUCUCUUUCACUAUCAUCAACAGUGUGGAAAAGCAACAAAAGCGUAGUUAUAUUGUAGUAAACCUUGUAGUCUACUAACCCACCCCAUCUUCAGUUCCUCAAAUACUUUUUUUCUUCUCAAAUCAUUUCCUCUCGACGUAAUCUCAAUAUUUUACCAAAAUAAAAAGCUGGAAAAGAAGGCCGCUAACGAUUUCUUCCUCCUCCGCUCGAAAAUUUUAGAAAUAGGGAGCUCUUCUCGUCUUCUUCCCCGGUUUAUUCUCCUGUUGUUCUUCGAGGGAUGAGGCUGCACUACUCAGUUGUUGGAGGGUGCAGCGUUCAUUAAAGCAACUGGGUCCAGCUUACUGGCAGUUCACAGGGAGUGGUGCUUUUACAGUGAGUAGAUUCCCCAUGAUGAGGCAUGUAAAGGAAGAAUCAUCAUGCAUCAUUGAACAAGUGAGUAUUGACAAUUGGUUUCCGUAUCCUA